rnacentral:misc_RNA from 1 species
GAUGAAGAACGUAGUGAAAUGCGAUAAUUAAUGUGAAUUGCAGAAUUCAGUGAAUCAUCGAGUCUUUGAACGCACAUUGCGCCCCCUGGUAUUCCGGGGGGCAUGCCUGUCCGAGCGUCAUUGCUGCCAUCAAGCACGGCUUGUGUGUUGGGCUUCCGUCCCUGGCAACGGGGACGGGCCCAAAAGGCAGUGGCGGCACCAUGUCUGGUCCUCGAGCGUAUGGGGCUUUGUCACCCGCUCCCGUAGGUCCAGCUGGCAGCUAGCCUCGCAACCAAUCUUUUUACCCAGGUUGACCUCGGAUCAGGUAGGGAUACCCGCUGAACUGAAGCAUAUCAAUAAGCGGAGGA